CCGCAUGGUUUGUCUGGGAAAGCUUUCGCGGUAUGGGAUGGGGUCGCGUCCUAUCAGCUUGACGGCGGGGUAACGGCCCACCGUGGCUUCGACGGGUAGCCGGCCUGAGAGGGCGACCGGCCACAUUGGGACUGAGAUACGGCCCAGACUCCUACGGGAGGCAGCAGUGGGGAAUAUUGCACAAUGGGCGCAAGCCUGAUGCAGCGACGCCGCGUGAGGGAUGGAGGCCUUCGGGUUGUAAACCUCUUUUAUCGGGGAGCAAGCGAGAGUGAGUUUACCCGUUGAAUAAGCACCGGCUAACUACGUGCCAGCAGCCGCGGUAAUACGUAGGGUGCAAGCGUUAUCCGGAAUUAUUGGGCGUAAAGGGCUCGUAGGCGGUUCGUCGCGUCCGGUGUGAAAGUCCAUCGCUUAACGGUGGAUCCGCGCCGGGUACGGGCGGGCUUGAGUGCGGUAGGGGAGACUGGAAUUCCCGGUGUAACGGUGGAAUGUGUAGAUAUCGGAAAAAAAACA
rnacentral:rRNA from 1 species